GGCACAGUUAAGUAGACACGGUGAUCACAAUAGGAAACAGGUGUGUAGACAGGGAGGAGCAGACGAAGGCGGGGCAGACACGUGACGAAGAACGUAAACAGAUGCACGUGGCCAAAGUCCGAGCUCAGUCAUGACAGAUGUACGGAAAGUAAUUGUGUUAAUGUUACACAAUUCAAUCAAAUAGAACCGACAAACACGUUUGAAUGAAGUAAAUUCAACAAGCUGGUCUAAUACUAGUGAGUUAGAUCUGAUAGAUCUCAUGAGUGGUGGUGUUUGGUUUUAUCCCUUGUAAGUAAUGCAAUAAAUCUGCUGGAUACUGUAGGGUUAUUAAGUGCACGCUCGGUGUAUUGAUAUAAACCUGUUAUAGAAAAUAAUCCAACAGCUUCUAACCAAUCAGAAUGGAGAAUUUUACAGCACUGUGGUGUAAGAGGAUAUUAAGGUUGAAGCAAUGAUGGUCUAGAUAGAGAAUUGUUUAGUUUGUGCAGUUUUUACUCAAACUAACCAGAGAAUGAACAUAACAAACCAAAUAAUGAACUUAAAUACAAUUAUUACGUAUUUACGUAUUGACUACGACUGAAUUGUAUUUAGGUCUCAUAAUUAACAUGGGAAAACGUUUCCUGUCUUUUAGACAUCCUCUCUCCAUAGCUGAGAAUCUGUGUGAUCGUCAAAAAGCAAAAUAUAUAAGUUGAGAAAGGACUCUUUCUAAAAAAAAAUGUUUAAAAAAACUAAAAGGUGUCUAAACAGCGUAUGAAACAGAUGCUCUUGGAUUUUUUUAUGCGCCGCAUGCCUGUGUUUGAGAAGCAGCUCAUGUCUCGCCGACGCUCUGCAACCUCCAGACGCUGCAGGACAGGGUGACGGAUGGCUCGUGCGAGCCAAUAGCUGCAGACAAAGGGGUGGGAACUACCUGCUCAGUCCACCCGUCUCCGCCACCCCUCCCCUCCCCUCCCCCCCACCAACAGAUCAUCAGACGCUGGUCUGUGUCUGAUUCAGCAACCAGCUCCAGCUCCAGCGUUCACCUCCAAACCCGAGUCCCUGAAAGACGGAUGCGCUGACGAUGACGACAACGGCGUCUCGUGAAUCGGUCGAAAAAUCCAGAGGACGAGCACGGCAGUGACAGCGGCAGACCAGACGAAGACUUCUGGCUCGGUAGACAGCUUCAGCAAUGGUGGAGGAAACGUGUGCUUACACGUGUGCUCGCUCACGUCUGCCUUCCUCCUGUUCCCUGAGACCCUAACUCGUGAGCUGUUUCUCCAAAAAAAAUCACGGGUCAGGGACUUGGGGCUCGGGUGGAGGGCUUCAGCGUCUCUCGCCCGCAAGCCGAAAGCAAGAUCCAGACGGAAGAUAUCGAUCAGAUAUUUAUCAGAUUUACCGCCUGCCUGUUAUGAGCAAUAAAGCUGUGAAAUGUCAGUAAUCGAUGAAUCUACAGCCUCUGCAAAUAAUGUCAGGAGUUCAACAAGCACUGAAUCUGAAUUCUAGUCAUAAUACUUUGGUUUAUUGAGAAGGCGAUCAAUUGAGCAUCUCUGCUUAGAGAUCAUAGGUUACGUAACCAGGGAUGGAUUUUGUGACUCUUUCACGAGCAAAGCUAAUGCAGCAUGAAGUGUGUUAAAAAAGCAUUUAUAGGAAUGUAAUUUGAAUGUAAUACAGAGGAUUCGACUGCCAGACAUUUGGUUAUUAAUGUGCUGAAAAGAACACAGGAGAGGAUUUAAUGCACCAAGAGUUUACAGGAACCCCAAAGAACUGAGAUGGGCUUAAUAAACACAGCCUGACCUCCAGCUUCUGCACUUCUAAUGGGCUUAAAGUGCCUUAAUCUAUCUAUCUAUCUAUCUAUCUAUCUAUCUAUCUAUCUAUCUAUCUAUCUAUCUAUCUAUCUAUCUAUCUAUCUAUCUAUCUAUCUAUCUAUCUAUCUAUCUACCUGUAUGUCAGACUGUAUAAAAGAUAUAUCUAUCUAUCAGUGCAUCUAGCCUGUCUGUCUGUCUGUCUGUCUGUCUGUGUAAAUAAGUGAUAUAUCUGUCUAUCUGCCAGCCUGCCUGUCCAUGUUAAAGCAUUCUGUCUGUCUCUCUAUGUAUAUCUAUACAAACCUAUGUCUGUCUGUCUGUUUAUCUAAAAAUUAAAUUAUUUUGUCUAUCUGUCCAUCCACCCAUCUCUCUGUCUGUCUCUCUAUGUCUGUUUACAGUAUAUAAUAUACUCUCUAUCAAAAUCUAUAAAAAUCUGUCCGUCUAUCCAUUCAUUCUGUCUGCCUAAAAUAUCUACAGGUAUUUGUCUGUCUGUCUAUAUAAAAGUUAAAUCUAUCUAUCUAUCUAUCUAUCUAUCUAUCUAUCUAUCUAUCUAUCUAUCUAUCUAUCUAUCUAUCUAUCUAUCUAUCUAUCUAUCUAUCUAUCUAUCUAUCUACAAUAUCAAUCUAUGUUAAUCAGUCUGUCUGAAAGUUAAAUCCAUCCAUUUGUAAUCUUUAAUCCACUGAAGGAUUACGUAACUCCUUUUGUAAAACAACUGGCACGUUUUUGUCUUUGCUUUCGUCUGACUGUCUUGUCCGAGUGUCUACAUGUCCUGUGUCUGUGUGGCUCUGGUUCUAAAGGAAAUAAUGACUUGUUUAUUAGAUUGCUCUCACCGUUCAUCAUAUCAGGUGAUUCAUUGUGGAUAAAACACACACUGACGUCUGUUUAUCUGUGUGAAUCAUCUCAUUAAAGUAGCACCAUGGCACCA